rnacentral:rRNA from 1 species
AGUGAACGCUGGCGGUAGGCCUAACACAUGCAAGUCGAACGGCAGCACAGUAAGAGCUUGCUCUUACGGGUGGCGAGUGGCGGACGGGUGAGGAAUACAUCGGAAUCUACUUUUUCGUGGGGGAUAACGUAGGGAAACUUACGCUAAUACCGCAUACGACCUACGGGUGAAAGCAGGGGAUCUUCGGACCUUGCGCGAUUGAAUGAGCCGAUGUCGGAUUAGCUAGUUGGCGGGGUAAAGGCCCACCAAGGCGACGAUCCGUAGCUGGUCUGAGAGGAUGAUCAGCCGCACUGGAACUGAGACACGGUCCAGACGCCUACGGGAGGCAGCAGUGGGGAAUAUUGGACAAUGGGCGCAAGCCUGAUCCAGCCAUACCGCGUGGGUGAAGAAGGCCUUCGGGUUGUAAAGCCCUUUUGUUGGGAAAGAAAAGCAGCAGGUUAAUACCCCGCUGUUCUGACGGUACCCAAAGAAUAAGCACCGGCUAACUUCGUG